rfam:Dipodomys ordii contig_41425, whole genome shotgun sequence.
AUGUUGUAUGAAACGAGAGAAGGUUAGUAUUUCUUGUGAUAAGGAGAAAAAGAGGGAAAAGGCCCUGGGCCUGAACAUCAUGCAUAUAAUAUGGAAGUAUUUAUUCAGUCAGUAAUUAUCUAAUUCUCUUU